GAGAGAGAGAGUAGGAGAGUCUAAGGGCUUUUGUCAUAGACUGCAACCUGGGUACUUCCGGUUUUGAGGGAAGUAAAGCUAGAGGGUUUCGAUUAUUAUUCAGAAGUGAAGGGCUUCCUUUUGGGUUGUCUACUGUCUUGAUUGUUUUGCCUUACAGUCAUAUUAGAUUUCUAUUGAGAAGAGUUUGGGCUGAGUAUAGUCGAGAGCAGGAUUUCUUUAUCAUUUUCUUUUGUAAAAACAAAACCAUAUUGAUUUGGAUUGUAAGUACUAUUUGGAGUACUUUUUUUUUGUGGUUU